rnacentral:rRNA from 1 species
GUGUCAGCCGCCGCGGUAAUACAGAGGGGGCAAGCGUUAUUCGGAAUUAUUGGGCGUAAAGGGCGCGUAGGCGGCCUGGCAAGUGACGGGUGAAACCCCUCGGCUUAACCGAGGAACUGCCCGUUAGACUGCCUGGCUUGAGACCGGGAGAGGUGAGUGGAAUUCCCAGUGUAGCGGUGAAAUGCGUAGAUAUUGGGAGGAACACCAGUGGCGAAGGCGGCUCACUGGACCGGUACUGACGCUGAGGCGCGAAAGCGUGGGGAGCAAACAGGAUUAGAAACCCCCGUAGUCC